rnacentral:rRNA from 1 species
UGCAAGUCGAGGGGCAGCAGGUCUGUAGCAAUACAGAUGCUGGCGACCGGCAAACGGGUGCGGAACACGUACAGAACCUUCCUUCGAGCGGGGAAUAGCCCAGAGAAAUUUGGAUUAAUACCCCAUAGUAUACUGAAGAGGCAUCUCUUUAGUAUUAAAGAUUUAUCACUUGAAGAUGGCUGUGCGGCUGAUUAGGUAGUUGGCGGGGUAAAGGCCCACCAAGCCUGCGAUCAGUAACUGGUGUGAGAGCACGACCAGUCACACGGGCACUGAGACACGGGCCCGACUCCUACGGGAGGCAGCAGUAAGGAAUAUUGGUCAAUGGACGAAAGUCUGAACCAGCCAUGCCGCGUGAAGGAUGAAGGUCCUCUGGAUUGUAAACUUCUUUUAUAUGGGACGAAAAAAGGGUUUUCUAACUCAACUGACGGUACCAUAUGAAUAAGCACCGGCUAACUCCGUGCCAGCAGCCGCGGUAAUACGGAGGGUGCAAGCGUUAUCCGGAUUCACUGGGUUUAAAGGGUGCGUAGGUGGGUUGGUAAGUCAGUGGUGAAAUCCCCGAGCUUAACUCGGGAACUGCCAUUGAUACUAUCAGUCUUGAAUACCGUGGAGGUCAGCAGAAUAUGUCAUGUAG